AUUGAACGCUGGCGGCAUGCUUUACACAUGCAAGUCGGACGGCAGCACAGAGAAGCUUGCUUCUUGGGUGGCGAGUGGCGAACGGGUGAGUAACGCAUCGGAACGUACCGAGUAAUGGGGGAUAACUGUCCGAAAGGACAGCUAAUACCGCAUACGCCCUGAGGGGGAAAGCGGGGGAUCUUAGGACCUCGCGUUAUUCGAGCGGCCGAUGUCUGAUUAGCUGGUUGGCGGGGCAAAGGCCCACCAAGGCGACGAUCAGUAGCGGGUCUGAGAGGAUGAUCCGCCACACUGGGACUGAGACACGGCCCAGACUCCUACGGGAGGCAGCAGCGGGGAAUUUUGGACAAUGGGCGCAAGCCUGAUCCAGCCAUGCCGCGUGUCUGAAGAAGGCCUUCGGGUUGUAAAGGACUUUUGUCAGGGAAGAAAAGGAACGUGUUAAUACCAUGUUCUGAUGACGUACCUGAAGAAUAAGCACCG
rnacentral:rRNA from 1 species